rnacentral:SRP_RNA from 2 species
GCCGGGUGUGGUGGCGGGCACCUGUAAUCCCAGCUACUCAGGAGGCUGAGGCAGGAGAAUCACUUGAACCCAGGAGGCAGAGGUUGCAGUGAGCCGAGAUUGCACCACUGCCCUCCAGCCUGGGUGAUAGAGUGAGAUUCAGUCUCAA